rnacentral:rRNA from 1 species
UACAGAGGGGGCAAGCGUUGUUCGGAAUUACUGGGCGUAAAGGGCGCGUAGGCGGCCCGCUAAGUCGAACGUGAAAUCCCUCGGCUCAACCGGGGAACUGCGUCCGAUACUGGCGGGCUUGAAUUCGGGAGAGGGAUGUGGAAUUCCAGGUGUAGCGGUGAAAUGCGUAGAUAUCUGGAGGAACACCGGUGGCGAAGGCGGCAUCCUGGACCGACAUUGACGCUGAGGCGCGAAAGCCAGGGGAGCAAACGGG